UACGUAGGGUGCGAGCGUUAAUCGGAAUUACUGGGCGUAAAGCGUGCGCAGGCGGUUAGCCGUGUCCGAUGUGAAAGCCCCGGGCUCAACCUGGGAAUGGCAUUGGAAACUGGCUGGCUGGAGUGUGGCAGAGGGGGGUGGAAUUCCACGUGUAGCAGUGAAAUGCGUAGAGAUGUGGAGGAACACCUAUGGCGAAGGCAGCUCUCUGGGACGGUACUGACGCUGAGACGCGAAAGCGUGGGGAGCAAACAGG
rnacentral:rRNA from 1 species